GUAAGGGCCACAUCUGGCUGUGACGUCUAUCACCCAUUGAUGGCCAGGGUCGAUCUGGCUGGUCCGGCUGGCUCCUCCGCAUCCCCUCUGUCUCUCACUGCCCCAUGUACAUUCUUCCUAAAGCUGCAUACUUGGUCAAAGAGGAAGAUCACCCAAGACAGAGGACCAGUCAAGGGUAUAGGAGCUGCACUGCCUGGCUAGAACUUCCAAAUAAUUUAUUCCACAUCAGUGUAUGCUACAAUCUAUAAACUUAAAGUUGAUUAUUUAUACAGAGCCGAUGAUAUACAAUGUGUUUUUGUGU
rnacentral:snRNA from 1 species